GCUCCAAAAAACGGUGGCCUUCAUAGCAAUAGAUUUUCAUCUUAAGGACUCUGACACCGUAGCGCUCGGUUCAGACUCUAUCCUUUUUUAGUUUAGUUUUAGAAAUCCAACCUCAAGCUCCUCUUGGAGAAACGUUGGUACUUUUAAUAGGCUUAGUCUUAAGCGUGAUUAAAUAAAGACAGCUCUCGGGGUUGUGCGGUGUACUGGGGCACGAGAGUUGCGUCAACGUUAAAACCUGGGCUCCACUCGGGAAACGUUGGUAGUUUAGUCCUAAAAACACCUUCCUUGAGCUCCUCUUGAGAAUCGUUGGUGGCUUUAGUAGGUUUAGUCCUAAAACACCUUCCUUGAGCUCCUCUUGAGAAUCGUUGGUGGCUUUAGUAGGUUUAGUCCUAAAACACCUUCCUUGAGCUCCUCUUGAGAAUCGUUGGUGGCUUUAGUAGGUUUAGUCUUAAAAACCCCUUCCUCGAGAGCCGCUUGAGAACCGUCGGUGGUUUUAAUAGGAUCCCCCCCCCCCCUCUUACAACGCUGCCUACCCUUCCUGGGGAAAGGCUCAAUUAGGAUCCCCUCUUAGAGUUAGCAAUAGUUUGGUUAAAAUCCUGUCCAUUUUUCAUCUAUUUUCUUCUUCUUUUACUGUCUUUUCUUUUCAAAAUCUAUACUCAGUUGUAAAAGUUAUUGUGUUUAUUGGACCUAAAAAUAAAUCUACCUGACUACAUUUGUAGUAGGUUAACUCAAUCGUUCGAGUCCUUUUCCCUGUCGACUCCUCGACAAAGGCAAAGCAGAACGACGCGCUCUCCCAGCCGAUCCCCUCACGGUAAGUGGCGCAUUUUACAAGCAAUGGUUGAUUGUGACUGACGUGUAUAGAGGGUGACAAGGCAGAGACGUAAAAUAGGUUUUGUUAAUUCACAAGGCAAAAAGAUACAUCAUUAUUUCGUAUUAACCAAGAGAGAGACCUUGAUCCCGCUAAACGGGGGGGACAGGUCUGAAUUCGUAUUAAAGUAACAGUUGUGAAGGGACUUAACAGAGUGACCUGGGUCGGACCGGGUUAAGACUGAGCCGAGCCGGGCCGAGCGCCUAAGUGAAAUCGACGAACCAUGGAAACAAGUGGGUCUCAACCUAGGUUGGUCCCGGGGAGCGUACGUGCGACACACACACACACACACACACACACACACACACACACACACACACACACACACACACACACACACACACACACACACACACACACACACACACACCUCUGCGGAGCGGUGUGUCGUACGCAAUAGUUCCUAUAAAUCACUCCGCGUGCGGUGCGAACACUCGACAGUAACAGCAGACAUUAGUAGUUAUGCUUGCUUGGAUAAAGUUAGCUGACCAGCUAGGCCUACUAGCCAGCUUGUGCAACAUUACUGACAAUAGGUAAUGUUAUGAUGCUACUUUAGCACAUUGCCAGCUAGCUCACUUAAUGUUACCAUCGCCACUUAACAUCUAGCCUCACUAAAGGCUAACAAGGCAUAAAUAUAGAGCGGUCUGCCAUCGGCAAUGUCGAACUGAAGUGGAGCUACCGGGACCCACACUGCCUUGCAGGAACUCAAAGCUUGUGGUCUCCAUCACUGUCUCCAUCUCAACGCCAUUUUGCUGGGGAAGGGGAAGCAAGACAGUAAUGAGGAGCUGCUGCAAUAUCUGGAGAGGGAAGAUGAGAGGUUCUUGCAGCACAGCAAGGUGAUGAACGACGCCUUGCUGUACAAAAUGAAAGCAGACACAAGUUUGGUCUCAUGGGCGGCGGGCCGCAUGGUGGCAGUGAGAGGCUCCCUUCUGCAACUGACCGCACAUGAACCGCAUGGCACAGUUUUACGUAUUUGGUGUAUUUAGCUGUAUUUACUAAAUCAUUGUGAGUUUCUUUGCAUUGUUAUUCAAAAUAAACCCAUUUUCUUAUUA